CACUCUAACGUGGGCAAGAGAGCAACACCCUGUCUCAAAAAAAGAAAGAACAAGGAAAUCUGAGAAAUCCACAGAUACGUGGAAGUUAACAUACUACUGAGUAACUAAUGGGUGAAGGAAGAAAUCACAAGGGAAAUUAGGAAAUACUUUGAGAUAAAUGAAAAGAAAGACAACAUACCAAAACAUAUGGGACGUAGCUAAAGCAGUGCCUAGAGAGAAAUUUGUAACUGUAAAUGCUUAAAUAAACAGGAAGAAAUAAUGUAGGAUAAACAGGUUUAAAGAUCUAAUAUACAGGCUCGAGCUGUAGGCAUGCAGGGCCGGAGACGCUGCAGACCCACGACCUGGAGCAGCUCGGAGGUGGUGAAUAAUAGGUCUUCACGUCUGCAAUAAAAAAUGGCCUCCAAUAAAACUACAUUUCAAAAAAUAGGAAAAAAACAAUAGGAAGAGUAAAAAAGUUGAAGAGGCAGAGCCUGAAGAAUUUGUGGUGGAAAAAGUACUAGAUCGAUGUGUAGUGAAUGGGAAAGUGGAGUAUUUCCUGAUGUGGAAGGGAUUUACAGAUGCUGACAAUACUUGGGAACCUGAAGAAAAUUUAGAUUGUCCAGAGUUGAUUGAAGCAUUUGUUAACUCUCAGAAAGCUGGCAAAGAAAAAGAUGGUACAAAAAGAAAAUCUUUAUCUGAUAGUGAAUCUGAUGACAGCAAAUCAAAGAAGAAAAGAGAUGCUGCUGACAAACCAAGAGGAUUUGCCAGAGGUCUUGAUCCUGAAAGAAUAAUUGGUGCCACAGACAGCAGUGGAGAAUUGAUGUUUCUUAUGAAAUGGAAAGAUUCAGAUGAGGCAGACUUGGUGCUGGCGAAAGAGGCAAAUAUGAAGUGUCUUCAAAUUAUAAUUGCUUUUUAUGAAGAGAGACUAACUUGGCAUUCUUGUCCAGAAGAUGAAGCUCAAUAAUUGUUCACAUUGCUUUUAUAUAUAUAUAUAUAAAAUUAUAUAUAUAUAUAUAUAAAAUUUGGGUCUUGGAUUUUGAUUUACUAGUGUGAUGAAAUAACUGCAUCCUAAUGAAAAUCAAGUUUGAUAUGUUUGUUUUGAAAGUAGCAUUGGAAGAGUUGUUGGGGGGUUUUUUGCAUCCAUAGCACUGGUUACUUUGAACAAAUAAAUAAAAGCUUUCUGUAGUUGCUUCUUUUAUCAGAAAAGAACAUUUGAUACCAUGGUAUAUUAUUUCCUCUUCAUUAAAGAACAGCUUUUCUAAAUGUU